GGGGGGCAGCUGUCUCUGAAGUGCUGGGGGAUCUUCUUAGGCGGGACGCUAAGUGGGUGUUGUCUAUAGAGGAAAGAUGCAAGUUUUUGGUUCUUGGCAGGAGCAGAGGGGGGCUGAAUGCGCUCAAAGUUCAUGUUUUCUGCCCAAUGUUGAAAGAAAAGCGGGAUGCAAUUAGACUGAUAGCUGCAAGAUGGAAGCUUUCAGUAAAUGCAGCUGGUUGGGAGCCCAAAAGAUUCAUCGCUGUACAUGUUAUACCCAAGUCCAAAGCUCCAAGUCGUAUACUUGGUCCUAAAGGUUGUACUGUCAAUAACAUUGUUCAGCCUGCUGUUUUUGAUUCUCUGGUGGAUAUGGAUCCAAGGCUUGUUGUAGCUUUGUUUGACUUGCCAAGAGAUGCAGACAUUAGUGCCUUAGUUCUCAGGUUUGGUGGUGAGUGCGAGCUUGUCUGGUUGAACGACAAGAAUGCCUUGGCUGUGUUCAGUGAUCCUGCCCGAGCAGCAACAGCUAUGAGAAGGCUAGACCAGGGGUCGGCUUAUUGUGGUGCUGCUGUAGUUCAUCAGAGUGGUGUUGCAUCAGCAGUGGCAUCCACUACUAAUGUUUGGGGAGUCUCUGGAGGAGCCAAGGACGCGGGAGGAGUUGCAUCAGCUCUUAAGGGUAAUCCAUGGAAGAAGGCUGUAGUCCAGGAGCCUCAUUUGAGAGAGAGCCUAUGGGAUGCUGAAGAAUGGUCCAAGAAUCCCACUGAUUUAGCAGCCCCUUCUGCCUGGAGGGCGAAUGAAGCUCCACCUACUGCCUCGUCUAAUAGGUGGAGUGUCUUAGAGCCUGAAAUUGCUUCCAGCUUGCCCAGGACAUCUAUUACAAUCAAGGAACCUGUUACUGAGACACAAGUGGGGGGUUCAGUUUUGCCUCCCAAACCUCAAGAUGUGGGGAUCGAUGAUAUGGCAGAUGUAGUGGACGAUUGGGACAAGGCUUACGACUGAGAGCUUCUGGAAAUGCAUAUUGUUUUUGCUGUCCAAUUAUUUCUUUCAUUUUUUCUUUUUAGUGCUCAGACAGGAGCUGGUUUAGUUAUGUUUAGUAGCCCUGUUUUAAAGGGAGUGAUGUUUCCUUUAUGGUUCGAAAACACAACCCUUUUUAGCAUUGGUGCCAAUAUUCCCAAUGAAGGGCAAAAAAUAUUGGUAGUGUAAUGUACCUUUUGGUACGUGUUCU
rnacentral:misc_RNA from 1 species